rnacentral:rRNA from 1 species
ACGGGUGAGUAAUGCCUAGGAAUCUGCCUGAUAGUGGGGGAUAACGUCCGGAAACGGACGCUAAUACCGCAUACGUCCUACGGGAGAAAGCAGGGGACCUUCGGGCCUUGCGCUAUCAGAUGAGCCUAGGUCGGAUUAGCUAGUUGGUGAGGUAAAGGCUCACCAAGGCGACGAUCCGUAACUGGUCUGAGAGGAUGAUCAGUCACACUGGAACUGAGACACGGUCCAGACUCCUACGGGAGGCAGCAGUGGGGAAUAUUGGACAAUGGGCGAAAGCCUGAUCCAGCCAUGCCGCGUGUGUGAAGAAGGUCUUCGGAUUGUAAAGCACUUUAAGUUGGGAGGAAGGGUCGUUACCUAAUACGUGACGAUUUUGACGUUACCGACAGAAUAAGCACCGGCUAACUCUGUGCCAGCAGCCGCGGUAAUACAGAGGGUGCAAGCGUUAAUCGGAAUUACUGGGCGUAAAGCGCGCGUAGGUGGUUUGUUAAGUUGAAUGUGAAAUCCCCGGGCUCAACCUGCGAACUGCAUCCAAAACUGGCAAGCUAGAGUAGGGCAGAGGGUGGUGGAAUUUCCUGUGUAGCGGUG